CGGAUGUCUACCCUAUCAACUUUCAAUGGUACUUUCUGCGCCUACCAUGGUGACCACGGGUAACGGGGAAUCAGGGUUCGAUUCCGGAGAGGGAGCCUGAGAAACGGCUACCACAUCCAAGGAAGGUAGCAGGCGUGCAAAUUAACCACUUCCGACGUGGGGAGGUAGUGACGAAAAAUAACAAUACAGGACUCUUUUGAGGCCCUGUAAUUGGAAUGAGUACACUUUAGAUCCUUUAAUGAGGAUCUAUUGGAGGGCAAG